GUUUUUUUAAAUUGCUGAAAAAUUGAACUUUUUUAGGUGUAUUUUGCUAGUUGUGCAGGAAUGUCGUAGUGUAAUGAUGAUCAUAAUCUGUUUGGUUGAUUGGUUGUUGCUGAAAUUAGAGAAGAUGGCAAUGGAGACACUUGGGUUCUGAUUUAAAGGCACUAUAUUGGGCUAGAUUUGAUGCCCCUGAAGUUUAGCUUGCAAGUGCUCCUUUGAUGAUGCCUUAACCAGUUAGGUUUAGACUUUCUAGCGGCUAGUUAUUUGAUAAGGGUCCUUUAGGAUCUUAGAGUGAUGAUAGUUUUGGCUUUCGUUUGGUGGUACAUUUGGUAUUUUCAUGACCUUUCAUUGCAAGUGUGAUGUUUCAUUUUCUUUUUGUAUUGUUUUUGUAGAAC
rnacentral:misc_RNA from 1 species